UCCGUCCAAGGCUAAAUACGGG
rnacentral:snRNA from 1 species